CCAAAGAAACUAGGAGCGUGGUUGCCUUUUAUCUCUGGCAAGGCAGUGUCCGUACUUAACUUCUUCUCCAUCUAGCGUCAAAAAAAAAACUUCUUCUCCAUCUCCCUUCACGCCGCAAUCAAGAGAACGAAGGCGCCUAGGGUUGCGGCUUCCAUCUUGCCACUCCAGCGGCUCAUCCCAGCCAGCCACGCCCCAUUGACGGCCUCCUCCAUUCUUCUCUGCACCGGCCUUGUCCCCGUCUUCCCCGCCCUGUUCCAGCUCCCCUCCUGCCGUGCGCCUUGAACUCCUCGGAUCAAACCCAGCUUCCCCUCUGCGUAAUCGUCCUGAGUGGUAACUACGGUCUGACUUCCCGUUGCCUGACCAGGUAACCCGAUUCCCUCCUCCCUUCUCCCUCCCCCGGUCCUUACUGACCCUUCUUCCCUUGUGUUAUUUCUUUCUUCUUAUUUUUUUCCUUCAACCAUUGUGCAAUUCGUGUUUAUAGUGAGAUUAUAUAUGCUUCCAAUGCAGGUUGUGUUUGUGAAUAAUGAUGAUUACUUGGUUUGUAGUGUAUAUUGUUAGUUUAUAAGGUGGAAUUGAGUUAGUUUGCAAGGUGUUUGUGAGAAUGCUUAUAUGAUAAAAAAAAGAACAUGUAUUCCAUAGAAAUUUACAGUCAGAACUCUGAUAGGUCAUAGGAUGUGUGAUCCGCUAGCCAAAGGAAUGCCCGAUGCAACCAAUCGCCAUCGGCAUGAAGUCGGGCAUUGGAGCAGGGAGCACUCCGCCCUUGUAUCCGCUGGCAGCCCGACUUGGAUUCAAAUAGUUAUUCAGUUAUAUGCUCAAGUUAUAUUGGUUCUUUAAAUUUAAGGGCUCUUUUUUCAUUUCGCACCGGGCCCCCAAAUUUCUGGAGACGGCCCUGCCACCGAGCAGCGUCCCCGCGCCCGCACGCUACCACCUCGCGCUCGCCUCGUCCUCGGCUGCUCGGCACUUCGGCAGGCACGACCAGGACCGCGCUCGGAGCACGCUGACCGCCGUCCAUCGCAACGGCCCGGGUCGCAACAGGCAGCACGCAGGGGCCAACGCCAGUCCACUGGGCCUAGCUUGUUACAUUUGCAAAGGACAAAUUCUGGCAUGAAUACCACUCAGAAAGUUGAUCCAGGGGAACCAGCUGCUAAGAUUGCUCAACAAGCCUCUCAGUUCAAACGAUGGGGACGCAGACAUCCAUUUGUUCGAUAUGGUCUUCCACUCAUUUCGUUGACAGUGUUUGGUGCGGUUGGUCUAGCUCAUCUUAUACAGGGAAGCAAAGAAGUAACAAAGGAAAAGGAGGAUAUGGAAUGGGAGGUCGUAGAGAAAACAAAAGCUCUGAGCCGAACAGGACCGGUUGAAGGGGCCUAUAAGCCUAAGAAGCUCUCACUAGAGGAUGAACUCAAGGCUUUGCAGCAAAAGGUGGACAUAAACAGCUACGACUACAAGAGAAUUCCCAAACAAAAUGAAAACAAGUGAAGUAAAGCACCGGUUAUCAUGCUAAGGAGUGGGAGAUUUUCUUAAAAGCUCUGAAGUAGUUUCUUCAUAUUGUUACUUCAUAAGUUCCUUGGGAUGCUGUCGAAGUGUUAAAAUGAGAUUAUGGAGACAUCAUCAUCAGAGAACUCUGUGCUUCAUCAGCCACCAGCAGUCGAGACUUAGGUCGAUGAUCCUUAUGAAGGCUUGAACCGUAGGAAUCAUCUUUGUAGCAAUAGGAGAUGGACGUUUUCACAGUCCGCCCAAGUGAGUUUCUUUUUUUGAGUUGAUCGAAUACCGCCUUCAUUAUCAAGGGGCCAAUAAAUUGUAACAGAGUACUCUGACGUGUGAACAAUCAGAUUUUGUAUGCCAUUCCUUGGAAGCUACUCCCUCCGUCCCAUAAUAUAAGAGGAGCCAGAUCCUCUAACAUGCUCAAGGAAAGUCAC
rnacentral:rRNA from 1 species